UACGUAGGGUCCGAGCGUUGUCCGGAAUUAUUGGGCGUAAAGGGCUCGUAGGCGGUUCGUCACGUCGGGAGUGAAAACUCGGAGCUUAACUCCGAGCCUGCUUCCGAUACGGGCAGACUAGAGGUAGGCAGGGGAGAGCGGAACUCCUGGUGUAGCGGUGGAAUGCGCAGAUAUCAGGAAGAACACCGGUGGCGAAGGCGGCGCCCUGGCUCGCAACUGACGCUCAGACACGACAGCAUGGGGAGCGAACGGG
rnacentral:rRNA from 1 species